UGUGUGGAGAGUKGAUGCCCAKUYUGACCUGCCCCCUGAAAGUUUUAAAGGGCCGCGGUAUUUAAACCGUGCUAAGGUAGCAUAAUAAAUAGUCUUUUAAUUGAGGUCUAGUAUGAAUGGUUGGACAGGAAGUAAGCUGUUUUAGUUACAAGAUUUGAAUUUUACUUUUAAGUGAAAAGGCUUAAAUUAGAUAAAGGGACGAUAAGACCCUAUAAAGCUUUACAUUUUCUUACUGGGCUAGGGAGAUUAAGGUUUUCAAUUUUUACUAAGUAAAGUGUUUCGUUGGGGCGACGAGAAUAUAAAAUAAUAACUGUUUUUUUGAUAAAAUAAAGUUUUUUAGGUAAAUUGAUCCUUAUUAGAGAUUAAAAGAAUUGAGUUACUUUAGGGAUAACAGCGUAAUUUUUCUUGAGAGUUCAUAUCGACAGAAAUAGUUGCGACCUCGAUGUUGAAUUAAGAUGCCCCCUAGGUGCAGCAGUUUUGGUGGUAGGUCUGUUCGACCUUUAAAAUCUUACAUGAUUUGAGUUCAGACCGGCGUA
rnacentral:rRNA from 1 species